CUCUUGACUCUGCAUAAUGACCUUUGUAUGGAUACAUAACCAAGCAUCAAGUUCAAAAUGACUGAGACUCUCAGUCAACCUUAGCUGUUUUGCCUCAUCAGUCCACUCUCUCAAAGCUUCAGUUGUAUUGCUCUUCCACAAAUGAAAAUCUUCCUCACCAGCUGGCUCUUGUACGGUACCAGAAAAAAAUCUAUAGUCAUUUGUAGUUAUGUUCAGUGGAUGCCCUAAUCACAGUUUUAG